GCGGCCAUGCCUGCGCCGCCGCCAACUCUCUCUGCAGUCCGCACUCACUCUCACUCCCGCAUGCAUGAUCCCUCGUAGCAACAGCUAGCACACCGAGCAAGCAUAUCGCACGCGCGCGAUCGAUCGGUCAUUCGGUCGACGACGCUGCCCAGCCAAAUCAAAGUCUUGAUGCCAGGCCACAGUUGCGCAGUGCCGCGCGCGCGCGCGCGCGUGCAUGUGCCAUUGCUUUCCUUCCGUCGUCUCGUCUCUCUCUGCGGCGUGCGUCUGCAAUGCAAAUAGCCGCGAACUCAGGCAUUGAAGGCCGCCCAGAUUUGUUUUUGUACAAAUUUCAGAGCCAAUUAAGCUAGUUUGGCGCUUCAGGCUGGUACAUGCACGUUGUUGGGUUGAAUUCUAGCCGGGUACACGUCCAGUGCAAGGCGGUGUUACGUAAUUUAUGCCAUUGAUUUGCCAACAGGACUGUGAAGACUGGAUCGUACGCAUGCAUGCAGAUGGGUUUGAUGAUGACGACACCGAGCCGAGCCGCCGUCAGUACAGUAAUCGUAAAUCACGUUCUCUUCUGUAAUUUCUCGGGAUAUGGAUCAUGCACAUGGCCGCAUCUCUCCAAUUUGUAUACAAAGCCACCAAACUGUAACGGGGCGUUUGGCUCGUCCCAUAAGCUAAAACAAAAAUAACUAGUCACUUUAUGAGUUAAAGAUCUAAACAUAAAAGCUAGCUUAUAAAGUGACUAAAAUGAUAAAAAGAUAUAUUUUUUA